rnacentral:ncRNA from 2 species
GCCACUCACCCGGGGGGUCCCGACAAGGGGCUGAGAUUCUGCUGGCGUUCGCGCAGCGCAGUGACCCGACGAACCUGAUCCAGUUCAUACUGGCGUAGGGAUGGUGCACUGGCGUUGCC